rnacentral:lncRNA from 1 species
UUCAAGAUAAUAUAUUUGGUAUGAAGGUUUUAUUAUGUAAUUGAUGUUGGAAAAAUCUUUGUGAUCUUUUAUUGUAAUAUUCUUUAAAAAUAAUUUGAAAGUAUAAUUUCAGAUUAUGAAAAAUUCCGAGAAAAAGAAAAGAACAAAUACUGUAAAGAAAAUAUUUAGAUAAUGUCUGUGGAUCGAGACGUGCAGAGCACUGUCCUAGAAGCGAAAUUACCCAUUCACGUGCAAGGCUUCCCAUCAAUUACUUCCACUUCUAGUGAUACAACGAUUACAUUCCACCCCGUCGGCACGCUUUCAAGGUGGCGCAAGACGAACCCAACAAGCUUCAGAUCCAGCAAAACAUAUCAAUUUAUUAUUUAAAAUGUAACUACUUCUGCACGCCCAGGCUGGAUCUACUCCUCUUUCAACUGAAACUGUAACUACUUCUACACGCCUCGAUCCAUAGGUCUUAUCUAAACUUUUUCUUUAUAAUAUUUAUUAUUUAUUUUCUUUUUUGAAAUUUUUUUAAAUCUGAAAUUAAACUUUCGAAUUAUUUUUAAAAAAUGUUAUAAUAAAAUAUCAGAAAGAUUUUUCCAAC